rnacentral:rRNA from 1 species
GGCGAAAAGAAACCAACAGGGAUUGCCUCAGUAACGGCGAGUGAAGCGGCAACAGCUCAAAUUUGAAAUCUGGGGUCUUCGGCUUCCGAGUUGUAAUUUGAAGAGGAUGUUUCGGAGUGACCUGGGCCUAAGUUCCUUGGAACAGGACGUCAUGGAGGGUGAGAAUCCCGUACAUGGCUGCAGGUCUACUUCCAUGUGAAGCUCCUUCGAAGAGUCGAGUUGUUUGGGAAUGCAGCUCAAAAUGGGUGGUAAAUUUCAUCUAAAGCUAAAUAUUGGCGGGAGACCGAUAGCGCACAAGUAGAGUGAUCGAAAGAUGAAAAGCACUUUGAAAAGAGAGUUAAACAGUACGUGAAAUUGUUGAAAGGGAAGCGCUUGCAAUCAGACUCGCCUUCAGUUGAUCAACCUUCCUUCUGGUUGGUGCACUCUGCUGUUGGCGGGCCAGCAUCAGUUGGGGCGGUGGGACAAAGGCAGUGGGAAUGUGGCUCGCUUCGGUGAGUGUUAUAGCCCAUUGUGUCAUGCUGCCAGCCCCGACUGAGGUCCGCGGUUCGCCUAGGAUGCUGGCUUAAUGGUUGUAAGCGACCCGUCUUGAAACACGGACCAAGGAGUCUAACAUCUAUGCGAGUCUUUGGGUGUAAAACCCAUGGGCGAAAUGAAAGUGAACGGAGGUGGGAGUCCUCGGAUGCACCAUCGACCGAUCCUGAUGUUCUCGGAUGGAUUUGAGUAGGAGCAUAGCUGUUGGGACCCGAAAGAUGGUGAACUAUGCCUGAAUAGGGUGAAGCCAGAGGAAACUCUGGUGGAGGCUCGCAGCGGUUCUGACGUGCAAAUCGAUCGUCAAAUUUGGGUAUAGGGGCGAAAGACUAAUCGAACCAUCUAGUAGCUGGUUCCA